UACGUAGGGAGCAAGCGUUGUUCGGAUUUACUGGGCGUAAAGGGCGCGUAGGCGGCAAUUCAAGUCAUCUGUGAAAUCUCCGGGCUUAACUCGGAACGGUCAGAUGAUACUGCUUUGCUAGAGUGCGGAAGGGGCAAUCGGAAUUCUCGGUGUAGCGGUGAAAUGCGUAGAUAUCGGGAGGAACACCUGUGGCGAAGGCGGCCAUCUGGACGGUAACUGACGCUGAGACGCGAAAGCGUGGGUAGCAAACAGG
rnacentral:rRNA from 1 species